rnacentral:rRNA from 1 species
AACGAACGCUGGCGGCAUGCCUAACACAUGCAAGUCGAACGGGGACCUUCGGGUCUAGUGGCGCACGGGUGCGUAACGCGUGAGCAACCUACCUUACACAACGGGAUAGCCGAGGGAAACCUUGAUUAAUACCGUAUGACAUUGCUUUUUUGCAUGAAGAAGCAACUAAAACUCAGGUGGUGUAAGAUGGGCUCGCGUCUGAUUAGCUAGUUGGUGAGGUAACGGCCCACCAAGGCGACGAUCAGUAGCCGGCUUGAGAGAGUGAACGGCCACACUGGAACUGAGACACGGUCCAG